GCCGCCGGCUGCGCCUGCGCACUGUCUGCCCACGCGGCGGAGGGCGCACGAGUGGCGGCGGCGAUGGAGGCCGGCCCGGGGCUGGGCCCGCGCAUCCGUGAGGGGGAUUGCGCCGUCCUGAAGCGGGACGACGUGUUCAAAGCGGUACCUGUGCUGCGGCGGAGAAAAAUUAUAUUUGAGAAGCAGUGGUUCUAUCUGGAUAACGCCAUUGGACAUAUUUAUGGAACCACAUUUGAAGUAACCAGUGGUGGAAACCUCCAGCCAAAGCAAGAGGUGGAAGAGACUACUACAGAAACAAAAGAAGCAGGUACAGAUAAUCGUAACAUAGUUGACGACGGAAAGUCUCAAAAACUGACUCAUGAUGACAUAAAGGCUUUGAAGGACAAAGGUAUUAAAGGACAGGAAAUAGUUCAACAGUUAAUAGAGAACAGUACAACGUUCAGAGACAAAACAGAAUUUGCUCAAGAUAAAUACAUAAAGAAGAAGAAAAAAAAAUAUGAGGCAGUUAUUACAAUUGUGAAGCCAUCCACUCGCAUUCUUUCAACAAUGUAUUAUGCAAGGGAACCUGGAAAAAUUAACCACUUGCGAUAUGACACCCUAGCUCAGAUGUUGACUUUAGGAAACAUCCGUGCUGGAAACAAAAUGAUUGUAAUGGAAACAUGUGCAGGACUUGUGCUGGGUGCGGUGAUGGAACGAAUGGGAGGCUAUGGAUCCAUUAUUCAGAUGUAUCCAGGAGGGGAACCUGUUAGAGCUGCUACCAGUUGUUUUGGAUUUCCAAAGGUUUUUUUCGAUAAUCUUCAUGAAUUUCCUCUUAGCAAAGUGGAUAGUCUCCUCUCUGGGACAUUUUCUACGGAGACUCUGCCUUCAGAACCUGAAGAUAACAUGCUAGUGGAAGAAGAAAGCAACGGAAUAACUGAUGGGAAGCAAACUUCCCUGCAGGAAACAGAAGAGGUAUCUACUACUGAAACAGCUAUGGAGGUCAAACAAACAGAAGAGCAAGAGACAAUGGACAUCAACACUGAAGAUGUAGAAUUUAGAGAGAACAAAGAAAAAGAAAAUAAAGAAAAUGUUCGGGAAAAGCAAAGAAAACAAUGGGAGAGAAGGAAAAAGCUAAUAGAAACUGCUACAUUGUUAAGAGAGAAGAAUGCUGAUGGCUUAAUUGUAGCCAGCAAGUUUCAUCCCACUCCUUUAUUACUUUCUUUAUUGGAAUUUGUUGCUCCUUCAAGGCCUUUUGUUGUCUACUGCCAGUAUAAAGAGCCAUUACUAGAAUGUUACGCAAAGCUGAGGGAAAGAGGUGGUGUUAUUAACCUAAAGCUGUCUGAAACCUGGCUACGAAACUACCAGGAACUGAACAAUGAGAACAAGAUGAGAAGGGGUGAAAAAUGUCAGUUUGACUAACUUUGUUUGAACAAGAUGUUUGCACAUGUGGAGUACCCUGUCAGCUGUGAAGCAGCAGAAGCGUAUCUGAUCUCUAAGCAGCUCACCACCUCUGAAGAGGUCUUACCAGAUCGAAGCCACCCAAAACUGACAAUGAGUGGAGGCGGAGGGUACCUUCUGUCUGGUAUAACUGUUGUCUUGGAUAAUGGCAAAUCUGAUUCCAGUAAUUUAGAUGCACUGAAGAUGGAGGAGCCAUCCUCUAAAAGAUGCAAAGUUCAAGACCUUCACUGUUAACAUUUGAAGAAUUGAUUUAUUUUUUUAGAUCUCAGGAGUCCUACUCUUAGUAAAAUAACAAGUAUACUUUCUGUGCUCUUGACAGCACAGAAAUUGUACCUGUCAUACAUCUGUCAGCAAAAAGCAGCAGAACUGUGGGGUAGGGAGGAUUGUCUCGCUCUUCACCAGUUUGUGAUCAGAAUGAGAAGAGAAACCCUUGGAAGCAAACUUCCCACUGGAAACACAGGAACUUCAAAAAGAAAAGAAGAUCAAAAGAAGAUAAAGCAACAGCAAAGGCAUCCUGUUUGUUUGUUGCCAAAAGUGGAUAUGAUGAAGUGGUUUUUUAAAAGGUUGAAUCCAAAUUAACAUCUCUAACAUAGCUUCCUGUUUCCCCAGAACAGCAUCAGGGUAAACCAUUCUGCAUAGUGAUCUGCUCCCACUUCACACACAGAACAAAGAGCAAAAUGAAAUGAACAGCAAAAAUCAUACACUUUUCAAAGGAAAAAGAAGAGAAUACUAAUACCAGAACUUUACAGCGUGACCCCAUGUUUUCCUGAAAUAAACACAGAAGAGAAAAUCCAUGUUCGUAAAUUAAAAUACCAAAUACUUAAGCGGAAUGUCUCUAUUACUGUUGUCUGUCAUGUUCCUGAGUUAUGUUUUUACUUUAAGAUACAACUGUUUUGAAAACCUCUACAUGUAUAUAUAUUUAUUCUACUAUUUUAUCUUUCAUGAUUUGUAGCUUUUUAUUAUUUUUUAACUUUGCAUUUGCCAUUUCAAUUAAACUGCAGGAUGUUUUUUCCUAAGGAGAUUUACUUCCUUCUUCUUACUUUUCCCUCUCUUUGGAAAUAAAAAGGUCUAGCAGAGAACACCCUUGGCUGCACCCCACUAAACCCCCAGUGGGCAGCUGUAGGCCCAUAUGGGAGCUCACAGAGCCAGCAGGACUUGGCUUCUGUUCUUGAACUUACUCAUCAGUGAGACUCUGGAGCUUUGGGAUCAAGUGAUCAGCUUUAAAAUUCUGUAUAGUGACAAGAGUAAUGCUCUUCUAGGACACCACUAGCUUAAAACAAAGCAGGUGUUACAUUUUGUUUAAAGAAGCAGAUAAAGAGUUCUCUUAGAUGAACAGUAUAUCUUGAAGUUUUUGACUAACUCUGGCCCAUUUCUUUUUUUUUUUCUAUUUUUCUGGAAAGCUUUUCUUCUCUUACUUACGUGAAAAAGCUGUAACAGGAGCGACUGCAAGUGUCACCAUCUCCUCUGUGUUUCACCAACCAUGUGGAUCUAAAAAAUAUCUUUUGCCCCUCUCACCUUUCUGUACAGUAUGAGUGUUGCAGAUCACAUGUAGGGAAUAGAGAUGUGAUACCUGUUUUUUACUAA